GGGAUAAUCGGGAGAAAUCCCGUCUAAUACCGCGUAACGCCGCGGGGCUGCAUGGCCCUGCGGCCAAAGGGAGCGAUUCCGGCAACGGAUGGGCAUGCGUGACAUUAGCUAGUUGGCGGGGCAACGGCCCACCAAGGCGACGAUGUCUAGGGGUUCUGAGAGGAAGGUCCCCCACACUGGUACUGAGACACGGACCAGACUCCUACGGGAGGCAGCAGUGAGGAAUAUUGGUCAAUGGGCGCGAGCCUGAACCAGCCAAGUCGCGUGAGGGAUGACGGCCCUACGGGUUGUAAACCUCUUUUGUCGGGGAGCAAAUUCCGCCACGUGUGGCGGAGUCGAGAGUACCCGAAGAAAAAGCAUCGGCUAACUCCGUGCCAGCAGCCGCGGUAAUACGGAGGAUGCGAGCGUUAUCCGGAUUUAUUGGGUUUAAAGGGUGCGUAGGCGGACUGUCAAGUCAGCGGUAAAAUACGGGGGCUCAACCUCCGCCCGCCGUUGAAACUGACGGUCUUGAGUGGGCGAGAAGUAUGCGGAAUGCGUGGUGUAGCGGUGAAAUGCAUAGAUAUCACGCAGAACUCCGAUUGCGAAGGCAGCAUACCGGCGCCCAACUGACGCUGAAGCACGAAAGCGUGGGUAUCGAACAGGAUUAGAUACCCUGGUAGUCCACGCAGUAAACGAUGAAUAAUAGCUGUCCGGG
rnacentral:rRNA from 1 species